rnacentral:lncRNA from 1 species
GAGGACAACCAGGAGGUUUGCAGCAGCUUCUGGGCAAUCUUCUGAGAACUCCUGCUUGAGAGCUGCAGGCUUCACCUCACCCCGCGCUUAUUAAGGGGAAGCUUAUGGGAAUAUUGUGAGAUUCCGGCAGCUUCCAGGCAAGCUCAUGAGAUCCACUCACUUUGGACCCACAGGCUGAGGCCAUCAGCGGUGACUUGCUUCCCUGACCUUAUUCCCCCAGGUCGUCAAGUGGUUGUGGAAACGUGUAUGAAAUGUCUUCAUACACAGCAAGUAGCUGUGUACAUGUGAUCAUGGUGACAGUGACUCAGAUGAAAGUGGUGGUAGUGUGGAAUGUGGGCAUAGUGAUAAUGGUGACAAUGCAGAUGGUAGUGAUAAUGGGAUGUCAGAGGUGGAGAUGACACCAGUGGUGGAAGAGGUAGAGGUAACGGUGAGUCUGGCUGAGGUAGACGUAGUGGUGGUGGUGGUGAUGAUAGAGGAGAUGAUGGAGGUGACGAGGAAGGUGGUGGCAAUAGGGACAUUGGUUGAGGUGGAGAUGCAAAUCGUGGUAACGAUAAUAGUGAUCUUGGUAAUGAUGGUAAUAAUGGCGGUCAUGAUAGUGGUGACAUUGGUUGAGGUAAAUAUGGUGGUGGUGAUGAUAGUGAUGGUAGUGAUGCUGGUGGUGGUGGUGAUGGUAAUGAUGGGCAUAUUGGUGGUCAUGGUAAUGCAGAUACUGGUUGAGGUGGAGAUGAUGGUGGAGAUGGUGUGAUGAUGAGGAAGGUGAUAUCAGAGGCAGGAUGAUGGUAGUAGUGAUGGAAGUGGUGGUCAUGGUGAUGAUAGUGAUGGUGGUGAUGCUGGUAAUAAGGAUGGUAAUGAUGGUCAUAGUAAUGGUGAUGCUGGUUGAAGUGAUGGAGGUCGUGUCAGAAGUGGGGCGUGGUAGUGGUGAUGGGAGUGGUGGAGUGUUAAUAGUUAAUAGUGAUGUGAUGCGAUGUGAUGGUGAUACUGGUUGAGGUGGAUGUGAUCACAGUGGGGUUGAUGGUAAUAAUGAUGGUGGUGAUGAUGGUGGAGGUAGGGAUGAUGGUGUGUUUAUGGUGGUGGUGAUGGGGUGAUGUGAUAUUGGUGAGAGGGUUGGUGACAGUGGCAUCUCUACAAGUGAAGCCUGAGGGUCCCAUAACAAUGUAAUCGGGAGAGCGUGUGAGUGGUUACAAUAAAAGACAAGGGACCCAGGAUGAUGAGAUGCCCAAGAAUCCUACAGAGGGUUCACCCCAAACCCAAGGUCCCCUCUCUCUGCCUUGCCUGAGACUCUGAUGCUGGCCUCCUCUGUCCUCCAGGGAGGAACUUUUUUCUGGCCACCGUUGAUUCCAGAGCCCCUCAGUAGGUUCUCUGCCCUGCUCUGAGCCCAGGCCCUCUGCUCAGCCUGAGACCCCAUCCUGGGGUGGUCGGUAGGAGGCAGGUGGGCUGGGGACAGGGCUGGAGACCCCAUCGUAUCCCCUGGGUUCGGGGCUGUCCCAGAGCACAGAGAGCAGACCACUCAGUAGGACUCAUGGUGAUGGGCACAGCACGUGGAGGAGAGCCCAGCUCCUCACUGCCAAAGGCGCCUGAGGAUGGAGAGCCCCCACCCCAGGUACCAGGGCUGGGGGCAAACUCCCCACAAGGAAGGCGUGGAACUUGGUGGCAGCAUGCAGAGGUCAUUUCCUCUGCUGCAAAGGAUUCAGACUGGUGUCUUCUGAGGUCCUUAAGCUGAAAGUGCUGGUGGAGACCAGUGGGAGCAGCAGGGGCCUCUGGGUGUCUCCACAGGGCCUCAUGGAGGAACAGGCAUGAGCAGGCGUGAGCCGCAGCCCGGGCUGCACUCUGGGUCUAUCACUGCUGUUCCGUCACUUUCGCUCUCUGGGCCUCUCUGCCCUCGUUUGCCAGUCGGGUGGCAAAACUCCUUCUGUUUGGGCUUCCUCCCCUCUCAGGCCCGGCCUAAAGCCGGCCCCAUGAGUCACGGCCUGGGAAGAGGAAGGUGACCAAGUGAUCUUGGGAGCCUGACCCAGUGCACAGGGAGGCCCAGAGAGGGCAGAGCCCACCCAAGGUCACACAGUGGUCCCAGGAACCCCCCCAGGGCAAGCUGAUGGAGGCUGAUUAGGCAGCCAAUUGGUAUUCUGAGCAGCCAGAGGCCCUUCUCUGUCUCUGUAAUUAAUGGAGUGGCUUUUUAAAAGGAUUCUAAUCACCCCGAUCCUAUCUGCUUAUCACUAGCGUCCCUAAUUAGAUGAUCCUGGCAGUCACUGCUAAUUCCCUGCAGCCCCGCGCAGCCCUGCCCCACCCAGGGCGGCCACCCCACCCCCACAGUCCACCCCGGCUGGCCAGAUGGGCGGUUGGGGCCUUCUCUCCCCUCAGGGUCCCUGGUUCUCUAACUACAUUACCUUCAGGAUGGAUGGGCGACAGCGAUGGAUCGAUGGGCCACUGGAUGGACAGUGACAGGACCUCCAGGAAAGCCUCCUGCUCAACCCUCCUAGCCACUGGUGACACGCACCCACUGGGUCCCUGGGGUCCUUCCCCCCGAUCCUGACCCAGGUAACGUCCUUCCUGGUGGUGGCCCAUGUGGUCUCUGGAGGCUCAGAUCUAGCCUCAAGUGGAGCUUUCCUGCCCAAACGAAGAUGCAUUUGUGUGACCCUCUGAGUUCCAAGGGUGAGCCAGGAUGCUGCUAAACCUCCUACAAUGCACGGGACAGCCCUCAGCACAGAGAAGGCCCGGCUCAAGUGCCAACAGUGCUGAAGCCGAGAGCCCCGGUCCACAGCCUGCGUCAUCGUUUGAUGAGCUCAGCUACGUUGGAUGUGUAUUUGUAGUGGGCCAAAGGCAUUCAUCUCUUUAACGUGAACAUUGAAAACACACAGGCGUUUAGUGAUUUAUUUAGUUUAUUUUUUUAAAUUUACUUAUUUAUUUAUUUAUUAAUAAAGUGGAAACCGUGAAA